rnacentral:rRNA from 1 species
GAUGAACGCUGGCGGCGUGCCUAAUACAUGCAAGUCGAGCGAAGCGGGGACGGGUGAGUAACACGUAGAUAACCUCCUAUACGACUGGGAUAACUUCCGGAAACCGGAGCUAAACCGGAUAAUUAUCGAUGGAGCCGGGCUGCAUUAGCUAGUGGGUAAGGUAACGGCUUACCAAGGCAACGAUGCAUCGCCGACCUGAGAGGAUGAUCUGCCACACUGGAACUGAGACACGGUCCAGACUCCUACGGGAGGCAGCAGGAGGGAAUCUUCCGCAAUGGGCGAAAGCCUGACGGAGAAAUGCCGCGUGAGUGAAGAAGGUCUUCGGAUCGUAAAACUCUGUUAUUAGGGAAGCGGUACCUAAUCAGAAAGCCACGGCUAACUACGUGCCAGCAGCCGCGGUAAUAC